UGCUGCUUCAGUCAAGCCAGCAGACCCUGGGCUGGUAAUCCUUCAUCAGCCUGGUAUUUCCCCACCACUGGCAGCCUCUGUUCCUGCGCAUCCGAGGAGAUGCUCCUUGCAGGCAGCCAACCCUCCCGUCACUGCUGACAUGACUCAUGGACUGCACGUUUACCAGCGUGGAGUGCUGGCAGGAGUGAAAACUCCAGGCUCAGAAGCAGGCAGCAAUUUUAACCAGAGCUGGGACUGUUAGCUGGCUGGAGCAGUGCUGCCCCUCGCCCAGGAGAGCUCCAUGCUGUGACUCCAUGAGGCUGCCACGCCAACAGGAGCAGCACGUGCCCAGCACCAGGCUUGGCCUUGCCCUGCAAACAGAGGCAAAUGCUGAACAAGACCCGCUUGAAAAUUAACUCUGAGAUAAACGUGAAAAUGCUGCUAUAGCUGAAGAGGUCUGUACAAUACGAUAAGAGCAUGUUUUAAAGGAGUUCACAUUCUUGUGAAAAUUAGUUUGGGAUCCUCAUCAGUGUAUUCAGGAGAAAAAGUAUUACUCUAAUGUCGACAGAACAGAGAUAAAAAGGAGAUCUGCUGAAGGAGAAAUAAUGAAUUUACACUUUUAACAUUCAUUUGGAGGUGCAGAAGAUACAUUACUCUACAUUAUGCCUAUAUUAGACUUAAAUAAAAUUCAUUAUGAAAACA
rnacentral:lncRNA from 1 species